GUGUCAGCCGCCGCGGUAAUACGUAGGGCGCGAGCGUUGUCCGGAAUCAUUGGGCGUAAAGCGCGUGUAGGCGGCCGAGUAAGUCUGCUGUGAAAGUCCAGGGCUCAACCCUGGGAUGCCGCAGAUACUGCUUGGCUAGAGUACGGGAGGGGCGAGUGGAAUUCCUGGUGUAGCGGUGGAAUGCGCAGAUAUCAGGAGGAACACCUAUGGCGAAGGCAGCUCGCUGGAACGUUACUGACGCUGAGACGCGAAAGCGUGGGGAGCAAACAGGAUUAGAUACCCUCGUAGUCC
rnacentral:rRNA from 1 species